GAUGAAGAACGUAGCGAAAUGCGAUAAGUAAUGUGAAUUGCAGAAUUCAGUGAAUCAUCGAAUCUUUGAACGCACAUUGCGCCCCCUGGUAUCCCGGGGGCAUGCCUGUUCGAGCGUCAUUUCACCACUCAAGCCUCGCUUGGUAUUGGGCAACGCGGUCCGCCGCGUGCCUCAAAUCGACCGGCUGGGUCUUCUGUCCCCUAAGCGUUGUGGAAACUAUUCGCUAAAGGGUGUUCGGGAGGCUACGCCGUAAAACAACCCCAUUUCUAAGGUUGACCUCGGAUCAGGUAGGGAUACCCGCUGAACUUAAGCAUAUCAAUAAGCGGAGGA
rnacentral:misc_RNA from 1 species